AUUGAACGCUGGCGGCAUGCUUUACACAUGCAAGUCGAACGGUAACAGGGUGCUUGCACCGCUGACGAGUGGCGAACGGGUGAGUAAUGCGUCGGAACGUGCCGAGUAGUGGGGGAUAACGCAGCGAAAGUUGUGCUAAUACCGCAUACGUACUGAGGUAGAAAGUGGGGGACCUUCGGGCCUCACGCUAUUCGAGCGGCCGACGUCUGAUUAGUUAGUAGGUGAGGUAAAGGCUCACCUAGGCGACGAUCAGUAGCGGGUCUGAGAGGAUGAUCCGGCAAUCUGGGAAUGAGGCACGGCUCAGACUCCGACGGGAGGCAGCAGUAGGGAAUUUUGGACAAUGGGCUAAAGCCUGAUUCAGCGAUGCCGCGUGUCUGAAGAAGGCCUUCGGGUUGUAAAGGACAGUUGUCAGGGAGGAAAUCCCUAGUGCUAAUAACACUGGGGGAUGACAGUACCUGAAGAAUAAGCACCGGCUAACUUCGUGCCAGCAGCCGCAGUAA
rnacentral:rRNA from 1 species